GGAUAAAGUUCAGUUUUCCGUCUCUGACAUGAACAGCGCGUGAAGCUCCGGACCGAAGCGCGAGACCUUCAGGACGACCAGCAGCGUCAGAGCGUCCUCACCGGCUGAGAGAAGGCCCGGAGGCGGAGUCAGAGUGACAGGGCUGCGUAGUGGGCGGGACUUCCUGUGAGCACAAGAGGAGAAGAUGCGGCUGACUUCCUGUUCCUUCCCCUGCAGCACCACCUGGCUCUGGUGCCUCCUGAUGAUCCUGUCGGCUCCUCCAGCAGCUGUCGGGGGCGACCAGACCGAGUUGUGCGGUGGUAGGGACUGCUCCACCUGUCAGUGUUUCCCAGCCAAAGGAGCGAGGG